AUGUGCUACUAUGGAGGAUACUAUGGAGGCCUGGGCUAUGGCUAUGGAGGCCUAGGCUGUGGCUAUGGAUGUGACUAUGGUAGCUAUGGCUAUGGCUGUUGCCGCCCACUAUGCUGUAGAAGAUACUGGUCCUGUGGCUUCUACUAA